UGCAGUCGACGCACUUUCGUUAUUGAUUUUGAGAUGCUUGCAUCGAAGAUGAUUUUAACUAUAAAGUGAGUGGCGAACGGGUGAGUAACACGUGGGUAACCUGCCCAGAAGUGGGGGAUAACACCUGGAAACAGAUGCUAAUACCGCAUAACAAAAUUAACCGCAUGGUUGAUUUUUAAAAGAUGGCUUCGGCUAUCACUUCUGGAUGGACCCGCGGCGUAUUAGCUAGUUGGUGAGAUAAAGGCUCACCAAGGCAGUGAUACGUAGCCGACCUGAGAGGGUAAUCGGCCACAUUGGGACUGAGACACGGCCCAGACUCCUACGGGAGGCAGCAGUAGGGAAUCUUCCACAAUGGACGCAAGUCUGAUGGAGCAACGCCGCGUGAGUGAUGAAGGCUUUCGGGUCGUAAAACUCUGUUGUUGGAGAAGAACGUGUGUGAGAGUAACUGCUCAUGCAGUGACGGUAUCCAACCAGAAAGCCACGGCUAACUACGUGCCAGCAGCCGCGGUAAUACGUAGGUGGCAAGCGUUAUCCGGAUUUAUUGGGCGUAAAGCGAGCGCAGGCGGUCUUUUAAGUCUAAUGUGAAAGCCUUCGGCUUAACCGAAGAAGUGCAUUGGAAACUGGGAGACUUGAGUGCAGAAGAGGAGAGUGGAACUCCAUGUGUAGCGGUGAAAUGCGUAGAUAUAUGGAAGAACACCAGUGGCGAACGCGGCUCUCUGGUCUGCAACUGACGCUGAGGCUCGAAAGCAUGGGUAGCGAACAGGAUUAGAUACCCUGGGUAGUCCAUGCCGUAACGAUGAAUGCUAAGUGUGGAGGUUUCGCCCUCAGUGCUGCAGCUACGCAUAGGCAUCGCUGGGAGUACGAC
rnacentral:rRNA from 1 species